AUGAUGCUGAUGAGGCCGCGGUUCCUCUCCCCCUCGCCGCCCUCCUCCCGCCGCGAGCCCCGCCUCCGCACCCUCUCCGAGGCUUCCAGAGUCUCCUCGUCCUCCUACCCCUCCUCCGCCCGCCCUCCCGGCCCCGGCCCCCGCCCCUCCUCCAACAAGCGCCCGCCGCCCAACCUCCGCCGUCUCACCGCCCGCAUCGUGGACCUCACCCGCCGCAGGCAGCUAGCCCAGAUCAUGGCGGAGGUGGAGGCGUCCAAGCGGCGCGCGCGCUCAGGAAGGGGAGGGGGUGUCAACAUCAUCGUGAUGAACGCCGUGCUGGAGGCCUGCGUGAGCUGCGGCGACGUCGACCUCGCGGUCCAGCUCUUCGACGAAAUGCGCGGGCCCAUGGGGUGUGGUGUCGACGGCGUCUCGUACGGCAUCCUGCUCAAGGGUCUGGGAAUAGCUAGAAGGAUUGAUGAAGCUUUCGAGAUACUGGAAUCAGUUGAGAAAGAUACUUCUGAUGGGAGCCCCCGGCUCUCUCCUCAUCUUAUAUGUGGUUUUCUAAACGCCCUUAUCGAAGCAGGAGAUAUGAGGCGUGCCAAUGCUCUCGUUGCUCGUUUUCGCCAAGUCCUUUACGAAGGACAGUCGGUGUUACUAUACAACUUACUGAUGAAGGGAUACAUAAAAAGCAACUUCCCUCUUGGAGCGUUAACUGUUAAAGAUGAGAUCUUGCGUCAAGGAUUGAAGCCUGAUAGAUUGACGUACAACACCAUCAUUUUUGCAUGUGUAAAAUCGGCAGAGAUUGAGAAGGCUUUCCAAUUUCUUGAAGAUAUGAAGGAUGAAGCUAAAAGGGAUGAUAAUCCUGAACUCCUCCCGGAUGCUGUUACCUACACAACAUUACUUAAGGGUUUAGGAAAUAGCCAAGAUCUUUAUUCAGUUCUGAAGAUUGUGGUGGAGAUGAAAUCAUCACUUGUUUCAAUUGACAGGACUGCAUACACAGCUAUGGCAGAUGCCUUUCUAGCUUGCGGGUCCAUUGACGGGGCUCUUUGCAUUUUUGGUGAGAUAAUAAAGCAGGCUGGCGACAACAAAGACUUGAGGCCCAAACCUCAUCUUUAUCUUUCAAUCAUGAGAGCUUUUGCUACUAUAGGUGAUUUUGAUAUGGUAAGGAGAUUGAAAGAACGCAUGUGGCCAGAUUCAGUUGGAUCCAUUAGCCGUUCAGCUAAACAAGAGGCAGAUGAGCUAUUAAUGGAAGCUGCUAUAAAUAACAAUGAGGUAGAUGUGGCUAGAAGACUUCUCAGAAGAAUAGUUAACGGGAAGGAGCAUUUCUCUUGGAGAAGUAGAGUAGGCCUGGUGGCACUCAAAGUUGAAACGCUAUCUGGAUUCACCAACUCUCCUCUUAGACCACAUGUAUUUCCACAGAUUCUCUUGAAUGAUCCUGUUGAGAAGUAUAUGAUUCCAUUUCGAGAAAGUCGACCGUUAGGUGCCGACUUGAUCUUGGAAAAUGUUGCGAUGCGAUUCUUGAAAGACUCUGCAGUUCCUCUUGUGAAUGACUGGGGAAGUUGUGUUGGAAUAGUUCACAGCCGCGAUUGUACCAAGAUGGACUCGCCUCUUCUUUCAAUGGCGAGGCCACCACUGUGCGUGCCUUGUUCAACCUCGCUGGAGCACGUGAUUGAUCUCCUCCUCAGAGAGAAGUGCGAGAUGGUGAUCGUGGUGAAGAGCGGCAACAUGUAUGAAGGCAGCUACACAUCCAGCUCAAGGCCACUGGGCGUUUUCUCCCUCGGUAUCCUGUCGGAGGCUACCACCAACACGGCAAACACCCACGACGAGUGCGUCUCCGGGGCAGCACCCGGCCAGGACCCUGAAGCCCGCGGCCGUGGCUGA
rnacentral:rRNA from 1 species